UGUAUAUACCACAUUAAAUUUAUCCAUUCAUCUCUUGACUGGCAUUUGGGUGAUUUUAUGUAUGAAUUUUUAAAUGUUCUGGCGUCUCAUUUAAAAGUAAAAAGUGAAGUUAAUUUUAAUUACAUUUUUGAUUUAGUAUAUCCAACUUAUUUCAACAUGUAAAAUUAUUAAGAGCAUAGUUCAUGUUCUUUAUUUGUUUAAGUUCUUGGGUUAUAGUAUGUAUUUCAUAUUUAUAUUACAUCUUAAUCUGGUCCAACUAUAUUUCAAGGGUUCAGUAACCACACAAGCAUAGGGGCUGCCAGCCUGGUCAGAGCUGCUCCAGAAAUUUACUUGGGGCCCUUCUUUUUAAUGAUGUUCCUUUGAGUCUGAAACCUUACUGAUGUAAACUUACCACCUGGUUUCGAUGAUAUUUAAAGCCCCCUUUUCAAUUAUCUGUAAUUAAUGUGCUUCUUUCUAACACUGGAUAUUGUAAAAAGAUAAUAUAACAUGGUCAAGGUUAAGUUCAAGACACACGCACAUAAGAUAAAGGCAAGGCAAUAUAUUAUUUAUUGCCAAAAAGUGAGGGAUACAUAAUAGCAACUGUAUCUAGAGCAAAUAUAAGGUUCCAAAACUAUAGAAUUUUUCUUCUGAUUUGUGAAUUUUUUACACACAGUUUAUGAAAGGUUAAAAAAAUCAUUUUACUUAAGCAUUUAAUAGAUCAUCUUAAUUUAAAAUAAUAUAAUGACAUGGAAUCUGAAAUCUCUUUGAAAACCUAGGGCCAUUAUAGGAGGAAGAAUUAAGGAGAGGCCCAUGAAUAUCAGAGUCAUCGAGGAAGAAAGGACAACAUUUAUGAAAUGACAGUCUUGUGGUUGAUGUGUUGCACAUUUCCAGGGAGCAUCAGUGAUAUCAUCAUCUAUGUGGACAGUGCCCUUGAAGCUGUACAGGACACAACCUUCACAACCAUAUUCAGUUUGAUCAACAACAUAAACUGGGAGCUCAGCGGUCUAAAAGGACUUGACAUGUGGAAUGAAGGUCUCCUAGCCCACAAUGUAUUCAGUCCUCCCCACUACCCAGCCUCACAAGGAUACCAAUGCAGCCGUGUCAAGUGACAUUCAUUUGGAAGUCUGUGAACAAAAGAGAGGCACACACCUAAAAGUGAAGUUACAUGUGUGGAUGUUUAUAUGAAACAGAAGAGACACAAGAAAGGGUCUGAGACAUGAAAAACGGUGGAGGAAGAUAAACAUUUCAAGAUUCAUAUCACACUGCUGCUGCCCGAUUCAGAGAGUCUCUAAGGAAAUAGCCAGAAGGGCUGCUCAACACUCUGCUUCCUUCCAAGGAAUAAAGAGUUUGCUACAAGCCAAGGAAGUGCCAAGAAAAUGCCAAUUUAUGUCACACUAACAUCUUUCUUAAAGCUGAACGAGGACUUCAGAAAUGUAAACUUUUGGCUCCAGCGAGCACAGCCAGCCUGGAGGGAUUGAUAUUAGGUUCUUCUGAAGGACUGAGGGAAAUUUGAGAAGAGAUCAAAUUAGACACCCAGUAAUUAGAAAAUGUACUGACACCAGAGUUUUAUUCACAAGAGUGGUGGGUCAACUUUUCCAUGGCACCUGAUGUGAACUCAGAAAAAUGGCAACCUGAAAACAGUGUUUGGAAAUGAUUUCACUGGAGACAGACAGAGACAGCAAAAGCUGGAAGGAAAGGGAAUAAGAGACAAACUAAAGUGAGAUUCUGUAAUUGAGAAGACCUGCGGGAACUAGCAGAAAAAGUUUCCUGCCACAGACAAAACAACCUUCAAAGGCUACCUUCCUUCUCUCGUUGCUGGGGUAAAGUUGCUUUUGGAAUACCCACCAAUGCAUUAUACAUAUUUAAAACUCUCCUCUCUGGGUUUAUAAUUUUUACAGAGACAGCUUCCUGCCAACGUAAGUCGUGGAUGUAAGAUGAUGCUCCUUUGUGGGGUUGUAAAGACAAUCUAAGAACAAGUGAUUUCAGAGUCACAAACUUCACAGCUGGGGAGCAUUUCCAUUGCCUAAUGCACUUUCCCUUGAAGCUUUCAUUGUUUCGCUCUUACCCAGUGGUGUCAUUAUUUGACUUACCUCAUCGGGGAAAUCAUUGUUUAAAAACUGAAUAUAAACGGUGAAAUAGUUUUGUACUUAUCUUUUCCAGGAUAAUAGCUUCCCUCCCCCUCUUACCAGUUCCCGCCACAGAAGGGUUAGGCCCCUGUGGGUGAUGAAUUGUUCCAAAGAGUUUGACAGUUCCAGGGAGAGAAAUGAGAGUAAAAAUAACUAGCUGAUUACCAAUAGGAAGCAAAUUGGCCACUUGAGAAUUCAGUGGCUAGAAAGAUGACAAAUGAGAAAAGAAAAUCCUCAUCAAGAGAUGAGGCUUUCUGAUUAGACCAGGUGCUUUCCACGCCUCUCCCUCCCUGCUGUGUGAUGAUGUACAUCCGAUUGGACAUCGUUUUGUGUCGGGGGCAGUCACUUCCAAAUGGGUGUUUGGAAGACUUUGAAGUAUUUCAUUAUAACCAGGAGGCAUUCAGAGGCUGAGCAAGUAAAAUGGAAGAUGCUCUAUCUUGGGCUGUGGAAUGUACAUUUAUAGAAGGAACCCAUGUCUGGUUGGUUUGAUCUGGCUUUUUAUUCCAUCACCCCGUAAGGCAAGCUUCCAAGAUUUGCUGGACUCUGGAAGAAAAUAAAAGUGAGAGUGCUCUUGGCUGAGGAAAUGCACAUUCAAGGCAGAUUCAAGGGUUUCAAUAUGUGGAUAGACUGGGUUUUCUCUGUUAAGAGUCAACUACUAAAAAUAGAAAUAAUUUGGGAAUCCUUUAAAGAGAGGCCAUUUUUGCUAGUCCUCAUUUGAAUAAAUCCAUAAAGUGAAAGAGGGUAUAUAAUGAACUGUAGACGUGCUAGCUGUCCUCAAACACCAUAAAUGUAUCAGUGGUAUUAAGUCAUUUGUGCAUGAAGAGAUAAAACAUUAACCAUUAGCCUCCAACUGGGCACAGCCAUAAGAGUUGUAGAAAGUAAGAAGAGAAAUGGGAAUUUUGAGUUAGGUAAUCAGAAUAGAAUUCAGGGAGGAAGGGUGAUAAGAUGCAGGCCUUGAAGGAUGAAUAUAACUAUAGCAAAUUUCUGGGUGAGAACUGUUUGAAUGGAUAACAGCACUAUUUUCUUUUUUUAAAAAAUGGUUUGUUAAAAAGUGACUGCAAGUGGUUUGUCUUGAAUAAAGGGGUUUGGAAAGAUGAAUUGGGAUGUAGGUUUCCCACGUAUGCAAGGGCCUUCCAUACCAGGCACAGGUGGGUUUGAUCUUAGGAGCAGUAGAGGAACAUGAGUGGUUCUGAGUCGAGUUAGAACUGUUUUAGAAGUGUGUUAUCCCUGUCAAUGAAAAGAAAAGGCAGAAGAAUGUUCUCUGGAGCUUUACCAAUAGGUCAGAUUAAAAGAUAAGGCCACCAUUUUUAUUCUUCUUCAGUUUUGACACCUGUGCUAUGGAAGAGAAGAAUGCAUAACACAGUGCUUGGCACAUAGAAGGGCUCAGCCAAUACUGCUGAAUAAGCCUGAAGUUUCUCAGAAUCAGAGUAUUAUCAUUUCCUAGAAGAGCUGAGGAAGACCUGAGGUUGCCUCAGCCCUCUCAAGAGGUACCAAUGAAUGAUUUGAAGAAGACCAGAUUAGGAGUUAUACGAACUUGAGAAUUUAAACUGACCUUCACGGGUCUGUAUUAUCUCAGUUAAGAAGACAAAGAUGCCAAGAUGACAGGGGGCAGCCUGCUUGAGCAUAAAGCUGACACAGAGGAGCAAGAGUGAGGAGUUUAUGGCAAGGAGGGAGAGCCUGAAGACAGAUACUAGAAUUGCAUGGGAGAGGGGUAUCCUCAAUAUUCAUUCCUGAAUAUUCAUUGGAAGGACUGAUGCUGAAGCCGAAACUACAAUACUUCGACCACCUGAUGAGAACUGACUCAUUGGAAAAGACCCUGAUGCUGGUAAAGACUGAAGGCAGGAGGAGAA